rnacentral:rRNA from 1 species
CAGUCGAACGAAGCACUUAAGACAGAUCUUUUCGGAGUGAAGACUUUUGUGACUGAGUGGCGGACGGGUGAGUAACGCGUGGGUAACCUGCCUCAUAGAGGGGGACAACAGUUGGAAACGACUGCUAAUACCGCAUAGUAAGAAGGAUUCGCAUGUUUUCUUCUUGAAAGCUUUUGCGCUAUGAGAUGGACCCGCGUCUGAUUAGCUAGUUGGUAAGGUAACGGCUUACCAAGGCGACGAUCAGUAGCCGGCUUGAGAGAGUGAACGGCCACAUUGGGACUGAGACACGGCCCAAACUCCUACGGGAGGCAGCAGUGGGGAAUAUUGCACAAUGGGGGAAACCCUGAUGCAGCGACGCCGCGUGAGCGAAGAAGUAUUUCGGUAUGUAAAGCUCUAUCAGCAGGGAAGAAGAAAUGACGGUACCUGACUAAGAAGCACCGGCUAACUACGUGCCAGCAGCCGCGGUAAAACGUAGGGUGCAAGCGUUGUCCGGAAUUACUGGGUGUAAAGGGAGCGCAGGCGGGAAGACAAGUUGGAAGUGAAAACCAUGGGCUCAACCCAUGAAUUGCUUUCAAAACUGUUUUUCUUGAGUAGUGCAGAGGUAGAUGGAAUUCCCGGUGUAGCGGUGGAAUGCGUAGAUAUCGGGAGGAACACCAGUGGCGAAGGCGGUCUACUGGGCACCAACUGACGCUGAGGCUCGAAAGCAUGGGUAGCAAACAGGAUUAGAUACCCUGGUAGUCCAUGCCGUAAACGAUGAUUACUA